UUACGGGAUAUUCCGGGCAUUGCCCACUCGGCUUCGCCGUCCCGCCCGCGCCUCUGACCCCGGGCAUGGAGGCUUUGGGAAAGCACCCGUUUUUUCUGAAUUUUGGAAUGUUUGGCAGAACCUACCACUCAGAUGUCCACGUAUGAACUAGUAGAGUGAGGUGUUCCCUUGCUCUCUAGAGGAUGCCUGCACUUCAAGGUUUGGUUGGUUUGGUUUAUUUGAAGAACUA